UCCCUAGUAGUUCAGAGGUUAAAGCAUCUGCCUGCAAUGUGGGAGACCUGGGUUCGAUCCCUGGAUUGGGAA
rnacentral:tRNA from 1 species